GCCGGAGUGGCGGAAUAGGGAGACGCAAGGGACUCAAAAUUCCUCGGAGCUUUGCUCCGUGCGGGUUCGACUCCCGCCUCCGGCA
rnacentral:tRNA from 1 species